UACGGAGGAUCCGAGCGUUAUCCGGAUUUAUUGGGUUUAAAGGGUGCGCAGGCGGGAUGUUAAGUCGGCGGUGAAAUUUUGCAGCUCAACUGUAAAAGUGCCUUCGAUACUGGCUUUCUUGAGUGUGGAUGAGGUAGGCGGAAUUUGUGGUGUAGCGGUGAAAUGCUUAGAUAUCACGAGGAACUCCGAUUGCGCAGGCAGCUUACUAAACCACUACUGACGCUCAUGCACGAAGGCGUGGGGAUCAAACAGGAUUAGAUACCCCCGUA
rnacentral:rRNA from 1 species